rnacentral:rRNA from 1 species
UACGUAGGAGGCAAGCGUUGUCCGGAGUUACUGGGCGUAAAGGGCCCGCAGGCGGUGGAGUAAGUUUGGAGUGACAGUUCCCAGCUUAACCGGGAAAGGACUUCGAAAACUGCUCGACUUGAGGACUGGAGAGGAAGGCGGAAUUCCGGGUGGAGCGGUGAAAUGCGUAGAGAUCCGGAGGAACACCGACGGCGAAGGCA